CAAUAGCAUAUAUUAAAGUUGUUGCAGUUAAAAAGCUCGUAGUUGGAUUUCUGGUGGGAGCGAUCGGUCUGGCGCUUAGCGCGAGUACUUGCAUCGUCUCCGGCCAUCCUUGGGGAGAGUCUGUCUGGCAUUAAGUUGUCGGGCAGAGGAUCCUCAUCGUUUACUGUGAAAAAAUUAGAGUGUUCAAAGCAGGCUUAUGCCGUUGAAUAUAUUAGCAUGGAAUAAUAAGAUAGGACUUUGGUACUAUUUUGUUGGUUUGCGCACCAAAGUAAUGAUUAAUAGGGACAGUUGGGGGUAUUCGUAUUCCGUUGUCAGAGGUGAAAUUCUUGGAUUUACGGAAGACGAACUACUGCGAAAGCAUUUACCAAGGAUGUUUUCAUUAA
rnacentral:rRNA from 1 species